UGAGGAAUAUUGGUCAAUGGACGAGAGUCUGAACCAGCCAAAUCGCGUGAAGGAAGACUGCCCUACGGGUUGUAAACUUCUUUUGUACAGGAAUAAAAGACGUUACGUGUAAUGUAUUGCAUGUACUGUACGAAUAAGCAUCGGCUAACUCCGUGCCAGCAGCCGCGGUAAUACGGAGGAUGCGAGCGUUAUCCGGAUUUAUUGGGUUUAAAGGGUGCGCAGGCGGGAUUUUAAGUCAGCGGUGAAAUUUUCAGGCUCAACCUGAACACUGCCGUUGAAACUGGGAUGCUUGAGUAUGGAUGAAGUAGGCGGAAUUCGUUGUGUAGCGGUGACAUGCUUAGAUAUAACGAGGAACUCCGAUUGCGUAGGCAGCUUACUAAGCCAAAACUGACGCUCAAGCACGAAAGCGUGGGGAUCAAACA
rnacentral:rRNA from 1 species